AAAUCCUACGGGAGGCAGCAGUGGGGGAUAUUGCACAAUGGGGGAAACCCUGAUGCAGCGACGCCGCGUGGACGAAGAAGUAUUUCGGUAUGUAAAGUCCUAUCAGCAGGGAAGAAGAAAUGACGGUACCUGACUAAGAAGCCCCGGCUAACUACGUGCCAGCAGCCGCGGUAAUACGUAGGGGGCAAGCGUUAUCCGGAUUUACUGGGUGUAAAGGGAGCGUAGACGGCAGCGCAAGUCUGGAGUGAAAUGCCGGGGCCCAACCCCGGAACUGCUUUGGAAACUGUGCGGCUCGA
rnacentral:rRNA from 1 species